rnacentral:rRNA from 1 species
CCUACGGGCGGCAGCAGUGGGGAAUAUUGCACAAUGGGGGAAACCCUGAUGCAGCGACGCCGCGUGAGUGAAGAAGUAACUCGUUAUGUAAAGCUCUAUCAGCAGGGAAGAAAAUGACGGUACCUGAGUAAGAAGCCCCGGCUAACUACGUGCCAGCAGCCGCGGUAAUACGUCGGGGGCAAGCGUUAUCCGGAUUUACUGGGUGUAAAGGGAGCGUAGACGGGAGUGCAAGUCUGGAGUGAAAGGCGGGGGCUCAACCCCCGGACUGCUCUUGAAACUGUACGGCUGGAGUGCAGGAGAGGUAAGUGGAAUUCCUAGUGUAGCGGUGAAAUGCGUAGAUAUCAGGAGGAACACCAGUGGCGAAGGCGGCUUACUGGACUGUAACUGACGUUGAGGCUCGAAAGCGUGGGGAGCGAACAGGAUUAGAUACCCGUGUAGUC